AAUUGAAAAACGAAUCACGUUCACCAAACAGCCACAGUUACUAAUCCCUAAUCCUCUCGUCAGUUCCUCUUGUUAUCGUUGUAGAACAACGCCGACCACCUCCUCGAAGCACUCUUCAUCUUGGCGCACAGCCUCUCCAGUUGUUCGUCAAGGAAAACUCCUACAUCCCUCAAUAUUUUCAAGACCUUUGAUCCCUCGUGAACUAAACAAAGACACAGUGAAUUAAUUGGUUCAUUCAUCACAUAACAGCAAUACAUCAACGAUUUAUCUUUUUCUGCCUUUGGGUUUCAAGGCAUAUAAUUCUUUCUAUUCCUGAAGUCUUGAUGCAUCGCUUUCUUUGCCUCAUUAACUCUGUAAAGCAGUAACAUUUUUUGUAUAUUUUAUUGAACUGUUGCAAAUGACUUUAUUCUUAGAUGGCCGAUAAAUUUUUUGCUUUGUAUUCUGCACUAGUUAUUUAGGAUUGUUCUAUGGUCUCAUAAUUGUCAAAUUUAUUUGGCUGUCAAAUUGGCAGACCAGAUUAAUGGCCAAUUAUUCUCUUUUUUAUUUAUUUAUUUUUUUUAUUUUUGGGAGGAACUA